rnacentral:lncRNA from 1 species
AAUUUACAUUGACUAUGUAUUAAUUAGAUAAAUCUUAAAAAUAUAUACAUCAAGAAAUCGAUCCAUAUAAUAUUGCUCAAAUAGUAAUUUUGGAUGAGAUCCUAAUUCAUGACAAAUGGUAUUAAAAUGAUCUGAUUCAUAUCUAUAUAGAUUAGGGGAUAUUUUAGCAUGAAUCCAUUAAAAUUGAUCAUGAAUUAUACACCAAAUAAGUUUUAGAAACUUAUAAUAUAGGAUCAAAAAGAACUUAUAUAAUAUUUUU